CAGUAGCCGCGGUAAUACGAAGGGGGCUAGCGUUGCUCGGAUUUACUGGGCGUAAAGCGCACGUAGGCGGACUUUUAAGUCAGGGGUGAAAUCCCGGGGCUCAACCCCGGAACUGCCUUUGAUACUGGGAGUCUUGAGUUCGAGAGAGGUGAGUGGAAUUGCGAGUGUAGAGGUGAAAUUCGUAGAUAUUCGCAGGAACACCAGUGGCGAAGGCGGCUCACUGGCUCGAUACUGACGCUGAGGUGCGAAAGCGUGGGGAGCAAACAGGAUUAGAUACCCCCGUAGUCCCUGUCUCUUAUAC
rnacentral:rRNA from 1 species